rnacentral:rRNA from 1 species
CCUACGGGUGGCAGCAGUGGGGAAUAUUGCGCAAUGGGCGAAAGCCUGACGCAGCGACGCCGCGUGAGGGAUGAAGGUCUUCGGAUCGUAAACCUCUGUCAGCAGGGAAGAACGGUCACUGUGCUAAUCAGCAGUGAAUUGACGGUACCUGCAAAGGAAGCACCGGCUAACUCCGUGCCAGCAGCCGCGGUAAUACGGAGGGAGCGAGCGUGAAUCGGAAUUACUGGGCGGAAAGCGCGCGUAGGCGGUAGGGCAAGUCAAGGGUGAAAUCCCCGCGCUCAACGUGGGAACUGCCUUUGAAACUGGCAAACUGUAGUGUGUGAGAGGAUAGUGGUAUUCCAGGUGUCGUGGU